UACGAAGGGGACUAGCGUUGUUCGGAAUUACUGGGCGUAAAGCGCACGUAGGCGGAUUUGUAAGUCAGGGGUGAAAUCCCGGGGCUCAACCUCGGAACUGCCUUUGAUACUGCAAAUCUCGAGUCCGAUAGAGGUGGGUGGAAUUCCUAGUGUAGAGGUGAAAUUCGUAGAUAUUGGGAAGAACACCGGUGGCGAAGGCGGCUCACUGGCCCGAAACUGACGCUCAUGCACGACAGCGUGGGGAUCAAACAGG
rnacentral:rRNA from 1 species